UUUCUCUGCAUUAAUUUUGUGUUUGCUAUUAAUUGCCAUUAAAAUGAUGUUAACUUUUUUAAUCAAGAUUUUGAUGCGAUAAUUUCCAUUGUGGUUUCAGAGUCCAUGAAGAAACGCCUCGAAGUAUUACCAUACGCGCAUUUCUUUUAAUUCCUGCUUGUAUAGGGAUUUCUUAGAGUCCUUUAACACUCUAUGGUAUUUUAGGUCAAACGACACAUGCAGAAACCUAAAAACCUUAUACGUAAGGCUGUAAGGGUGAUAUACCAAAUUCCAGUGAUUCUUGAUUGAUUGUAAGAUCCUUUGACGAACCCGUAAAGUCUGAUUUCUUUUCCCCACAAAAGCAACUUCUCCAUGUUAAGGAUAUUCCAGUCAAUGCGUUGCUUACUUUUCCUUCUAUCAUUGUAUAUGUAUAUUUAAUAUUGAAUCCCAUUUGAAAUGUGUA